rnacentral:rRNA from 1 species
GACGAACGCUGGCGGCGUGCCUAAUACAUGCAAGUCGAACGAACUCUGGUAUUGAUUGGUGCUUGCAUCAUGAUUUACAUUUGAGUGAGUGGCGAACUGGUGAGUAACACGUGGGAAACCUGCCCAGAAGCGGGGGAUAACACCUGGAAACAGAUGCUAAUACCGCAUAACAACUUGGACCGCAUGGUCCGAGUUUGAAAGAUGGCUUCGGCUAUCACUUUUGGAUGGUCCCGCGGCGUAUUAGCUAGAUGGUGGGGUAACGGCUCACCAUGGCAAUGAUACGUAGCCGACCUGAGAGGGUAAUCGGCCACAUUGGGACUGAGACACGGCCCAAACUCCUACGGGAGGCAGCAGUAGGGAAUCUUCCACAAUGGACGAAAGUCUGAUGGAGCAACGCCGCGUGAGUGAAGAAGGGUUUCGGCUCGUAAAACUCUGUUGUUAAAGAAGAACAUAUAUGAGAGUAACUGUUCAGGUAUUGACGGUAUUUAACCAGAAAGCCACGGCUAACUACGUGCCAGCAGCCGCGGUAAUACGUAGGUGGCAAGCGUUGUCCGGAUUUAUUGGGCGUAAAGCGAGCGCAGGCGGUUUUUUAAGUCUGAUGUGAAAGCCUUCGGCUCAACCGAAGAAGUGCAUCGGAAACUGGGAAACUUGAGUGCAGAAGAGGACAGUGGAACUCCAUGUGUAGCGGUGAAAUGCGUAGAUAUAUGGAAGAACACCAGUGGCGAAGGCGGCUGUCUGGUCUGUAACUGACGCUGAGGCUCGAAAGUAUGGGUAGCAAACAGGAUUAGAUACCCUGGUAGUCCAUACCGUAAACGAUGAAUGCUAAGUGUUGGAGGGUUUCCGCCCUUCAGUGCUGCAGCUAACGCAUUAAGCAUUCCGCCUGGGGAGUACGGCCGCAAGGCUGACACUCAAAGGAAUUGACGGGGGCCCGCACAAGCGGUGGAGCAUGUGGUUUAAUUCGAAGCUACGCGAAGAACCUUAUCAGGUCUUGACAUACUAUGCAAAUCUAAGAGAUUAGACGUUCCCUUCGGGGACAUGGAUACAGGUGGUGCAUGGUUGUCGUCAGCUCGUGUCGUGAGAUGUUGGGUUAAGUCCCGCAACGAGCGCAACCCUUAUUAUCAGUUGCCAGCAUUAAGUUGGGCACUCUGGUGAGACUGCCGGUGACAAACCGGAGGAAGGUGGGGAUGACGUCAAAUCAUCAUGCCCCUUAUGACCUGGGCUACACACGUGCUACAAUGGAUGGUACAACGAGUUGCGAACUCGCGAGAGUAAGCUAAUCUCUUAAAGCCAUUCUCAGUUCGGAUUGUAGGCUGCAACUCGCCUACAUGAAGUCGGAAUCGCUAGUAAUCGCGGAUCAGCAUGCCGCGGUGAAUACGUUCCCGGGCCUUGUACACACCGCCCGUCACACCAUGAGAGUUUGUAACACCCAAAGUCGGUGGGGUAACCUUUUAGGAACCAGCCGCCUAAGGUGGGACAGAUGAUUAGGGUG